rnacentral:rRNA from 1 species
AUACGUAGGGGGCUAGCGUUAUCCGGAAUUACUGGGCGUAAAGGGUGCGUAGGUGGUUUCUUCAGUCAGAAGUGAAAGGCUACGGCUCCACCGUAGUAAGCUUUUGAAACUAAGAGACUUGAGUGCAGGAGAGGAGAGUAGAAUUCCUAGUGUAGCGGGGAAAUGCGUAGAUAUUAGGAGGAAUACCAGUUGCGAAGGCGGCUCUCUGGACUGUAACUGACACUGAGGCACGAAAGCGUGGGGAGCAAACAGGAUUAGAUACCCUGGUAGUCCACGCCGUAAACGAUGAGUACUAGCUGUCGGGGGUUACCCCCCUCGGUGGCGCAGCUAACGCAUUAAGUACUCCGCCUGGGAAGUACGCUCGCAAGAGUGAAACUCAAAUGAAUUGGCGGGG